rnacentral:rRNA from 1 species
UGCGAAGGGGGCUAGCGUUGUUCGGAUUUACUGGGCGUAAAGGGCACGCAGGCGGCCUAUCAAGUCAGGGGUGAAAUCCCGGGGCUCAACCCCGGAACUGCCUUUGAAACUGGUAGGCUAGAGUAUGAGAGAGGUGAGUGGAAUUCCUAGUGUAGAGGUGAAAUUCGUAGAUAUUAGGAGGAGCACCAGUGGCGAAGGCGGCUCACUGGCUCAUAACUGACGCUCAGGUGCGAAAGCGUGGGGAGCAAACAGG